UAGGGAAUCUUCCACAAUGGACGCAAGUCUGAUGGAGCAACGCCGCGUGAGUGAAGAAGGUUUUCGGAUCGUAAAGCCCUGUUGUUGGUGAAGAAGGAUAGAGGCAGUAACUGGUCUUUAUUUGACGGUAAUCAACCAGAAAGUCACGGCUAACUACGUGCCAGCAGCCGCGGUAAUACGUAGGUGGCAAGCGUUGUCCGGAUUUAUUGGGCGUAAAGCGAGCGCAGGCGGGAUGAUAAGUCUGAUGUGAAAGCCCACGGCUCAACCGUGGAACUGCAUCGGAAACUGUCAUUCUUGAGUGCAGAAGAGGAGAGUGGAAUUCCAUGUGUAGCGGUGGAAUGCGUAGAUAUAUGGAAGAACACCAGUGGCGAAGGCGGCUCUCUGGUCUGCAACUGACGCUGAGGCUCGAAAGCAUGGGUAGCGAACAGG
rnacentral:rRNA from 1 species